GGGACACAAACUCAACAGUCCAAGCUGGGUCUUGCUAUGUAUCUCAGGAAGCUGGCUUCAAACUCACAGUGAUCCUCCUGCCUCAGCCUCCUGAGUACUGGGAUUACAGGCCUGCACCACCACACCUGGCUCAGGCCUGCUUCAGAAAGCCAGGCAACUUUCUCUGUAAGUCUCCAUGUGACCUCCCUACUUGACCCACUGCAGACUGUAUUGACACUUGCAUGAACUCUGUCUUGGCCCCCAAAGAAGCCCAGGGAGAUUCUACCACCCCUAACCACCUUGGCUGACCUAAAUGAUCCAAGGUAGUGGUCACUUUGACUAAAGUCAGGGACAAAUUCCAAGUUGCUGUGUUUUCAGGAGACAAGUUAAUAUGCGACUUCCACAUAAGUAGGACGGUCUCAGGGGGCACAUGAUGCUUCUCCCCCAAGCCAGUGGGACCUGCAUCAGAUGGGGG
ensembl:lncRNA